GAUGAACGCUGGCGGCGUGCCUAAUACAUGCAAGUCGAGCGAACGGACGAGAAGCUUGCUUUUCUGAUGUUAGCGGCGGACGGGUGAGUAACACGUGGAUAACCUACCUAUAAGACUGGGAUAACUUCGGGAAACCGGAGCUAAUACCGGAUAAUAUUUUGAACCGCAUGGUUCAAAAGUGAAAGACGGUCUUGCUGUCACUUAUAGAUGGAUCCGCGCUGCAUUAGCUAGUUGGUAAGGUAACGGCUUACCAAGGCAACGAUGCAUGGCCGACCUGAGAGGGUGAUCGGCCACACUGGAACUGAGACACGGUCCAGACUCCUACGGGAGGCGGCAGUAGGGAAUCUUCCGCAAUGGGCGAAAGCCUGACGGAGCAACGCCGCGUGAGUGAUGAAGGUCUUCGGAUCGUAAAACUCUGUUAUUAGGGAAGAACAUAUGUGUAAGUAACUGUGCACAUCUUGACGGUACCUAAUCAGAAAGCCACGGCUAACUACGUG
rnacentral:rRNA from 1 species